rnacentral:rRNA from 1 species
AUAUGUUGGUUCAAGCCUGUAGUCGUGCCUGGUAGGUAAAUCCGCCGGGCUUAGAUGAGGGGUGAUAACGAGGCUGCUUGCAGCCGAAGUGAGUGAUACCCUGCUUCCAGGAAGAGCCACUAAGCUUCAGCUACACACGACCGUACCGCAAACCGACACUGGUGCGCGAGAUGAGUAUUCUAAGGCGCUUGAGAGAACUCAGGAGAAGGAACUCGGCAAAUUGACACCGUAACUUCGGAAGAAGGUGUGCCUUUAGUAGGUGAAGUCCCUCGCGGAUGGAGCCCAAUGAGGUUGCAAAAAAUCGGUGGCUGCGACUGUUUAUUAAAAACACAGCACUCUGCAAACACGAAAGUGGACGUAUAGGGUGUGGCGCCUGCCCGGUGCUGGAAGAUUAAAUGAUGGGGUGCAAGCUCUUGAUUGAAGUCCCAGUAAACGGCGGCCGUAACAAUAACGGUCCUAAGGUAGCGAAAUUCCUUGUCGGGUAAGUUCCGACCUGCACGAAUGGCGUAACGAUGGCCACACUGUCUCCUCCUGAGACUCAGCGAAGUUGAAAUGUUUGUGAUGAUGCAAUCUCCCCGCGGAAAGACGGAAAGACCCCAUGAACCUUUACUGUAGCUUUGUAUUGGACUUUGAACAGAUCUGUGUAGGAUAGGUGGGAGGCUUUGAAGCAGGGUCGCUAGAUCUUGUGGAGCCAACGUUGAAAUACCACCCUGGUGUGUUUGAGGUUCUAACCUAGGUCCAUUAUCUGGAUCGGGGACAGUGCAUGGUAGGCAGUUUGACUGGGGCGGUCUCCUCCCAAAGUGUAACGGAGGAGUUCGAAGGUACGCUAGGUACGGUCGGACAUCGUGCUAAUAGUGCAAUGGCAUAAGCGUGCUUAACUGCGAGACUGACAAGUCGAGCAGAUGCGAAAGCAGGACAUAGUGAUCCGGUGGUUCUGUAUGGAAGGGCCAUCGCUCAACGGAUAAAAGGUACUCUGGGGAUAACAGGCUGAUACCGCCCAAGAGUUCAUAUCGACGGCGGUGUUUGGCACCUCGAUGUCGGCUCAUCUCAUCCUGGGGCUGUAGCCGGUCCCAAGGGUAUGGCUGUUCGCCAUUUAAAGAGGUACGUGAGCUGGGUUUAAAACGUCGUGAGACAGUUUGGUCCCUAUCUUCCGUGGGCGCUGCAGAUUUGAGGAAGCCUGCUCCUAGUACGAGAGGACCGGAGUGGACACACCUCUGGUGUAUCGGUUGUCACGCCAGUGGCAUUGCCGAGUAGCUAAGUGUGGAAGAGAUAACCGCUGAAAGCAUCUAAGCGGGAAACUCGUUUCAAGAUGAGAUCUGCCGGGGCCUUGAGCCCCCUGAAGAGUCGUUCAAGACCAGGACGUUGAUAGGUCGGGUGUGGAAGCGCAGUAAUGCGUUAAGCUAACCGAUACUAAUUGCUCGUGCGACUUGAC